rnacentral:rRNA from 1 species
GACGAACGCUGGCGGCGUGCUUAACACAUGCAAGUCGAACGGAAAGGCCCUGCUUUUGUGGGGUGCUCGAGUGGCGAACGGGUGAGUAACACGUGAGUAACCUGCCCUUGACUUUGGGAU